rnacentral:rRNA from 1 species
GAUGAACGCUGGCGGCGUGCCUAAUACAUGCAAGUCGAGCGGUAAGGCCUCUUCGGAGGUACACGAGCGGCGGACGGCUGAGUAACUCGUAGGAACGUGCCCCAAACUGAGGGAUAAGCACCAGAAAUGGUGUCUAAUACCGCAUGUGAUCUUCGGAUUAAAGCUUCGGCGGUUUGGGAACGGCCUGCGUAUGAUUAGCUAGUUGGUGAGGUAAUGGCUCACCAAGGCGACGAUCAUUAGCUGGUCUGAGAGGAUGAUCAGCCAGACUGGGACUGAGACACGGCCCAGACUCCUACGGGAGGCAGCAGUAGGGAAUUUUCCACAAUGGGCGAAAGCCUGAUGGAGCAACGCCGCGUGCAGGAUGAAUGCCUUCGGGUUGUAAACUGCUUUUAUAUGUGACGAUUAUGACGGUAGCAUAUGAAUAAGGAUCGGCUAACUCCGUGCCAGCCGCCGCCGUAA